rnacentral:rRNA from 1 species
GACGAACGCUGGCGGCGUGCUUAACACAUGCAAGUCGAACGGAAAGGCCCUGCUUUUGUGGGGUUCUCGAGUGGCGAACGGGUGAGUAACACGUGAGUAACCUGCCCUUGACUUUGUGAUAACUUCAGGAAACUGGGGCUAAUACCGGAUAGGAGCUCCUGCUGCAUGUGGUGGGUUGGAAAGUUUCGGCGGUUGGGGAUGGACUCGCGGGUUAUCAGCUUGUUUGUGGGGUAGUGGCUUACCAAGCCUUUGACGGGUAGCCGGCCUGAGAGGGUGACCGGCCACCUUGGGACUGAGAUACGGCCCAGACUCGUACGGGACGCAGCAGUGGGGAGUAUUGCACAACGAGGGGAAGCGUGAUGCAGAAACGCCGCGUGCGGGAUGCCGGCUUUCGGGUUGUAAACAGCUUUGGCCUGUGACGAAGAGUGAGUGACGGUAAUUGGUAAAAAAGCAACGGCUAACUACGUG